rnacentral:rRNA from 1 species
AUGGUGAGGAGGCCUUACUUGCUCAGGUCCGGAAAUGGUGGCAUUAAACAAAUUAGCAAGGAAGAAUUGGGUAUUGAGUUCACUAUUUUCAGGACAAAUGAGUCGACACGAGCUCCUCAUGAACUUCUCAAUUACCAGCUGGCCGGAAUUCUUCCAAUUACAAUCAGAAUCAUCAGGGACGUGGCAUUGAACAUCAGGGGAGGAUUGUUUCUUCCAGGGCCUCCAGGUGUCUCGAGGAUUCUUUCUGAAGAUAUUCAUGGCGAAAGAAAUCCUCAUUUUGUUGGCCAAGUCUUGCUCGCCAUCCAAUGCAGUUCUCUAAUGGAUGGAGUGGAGUUCUCUGCUGGCUGCGGACAAGCUCUUUUUCAAGGAGGGAGGAGCUUCGCGGUCCUCGCCACCUUCGUCGACCACAACUACUACCUUGACACACGAAGUCUUCACCUGAGCUUCGGCUUGGGGUCAACGACUAAGUUUUUUUUACCGGAACCGGGUCAAGCCAAGUUUCGAGGAGGGAGGGUGUUAGUAACCCUCCACGGGUGGGCUUGGGCCGGCAUGAGAGGGACGAGCCAGGCAUCCAGGGCAAGGAGCCAACGACUACAAAUACCUGAAGUAGUCGAUCGAUCAGUGCCUGUAGUUCGAUCCAAAUCUCCAUAUCUGAGUGAAUCAAAGUGUAUCCUGCUGCCUACCGAGAGUACCUACGAUGCCAAGUCUGUUGUGGCCCGGGCGCGUCGACAAUGGUGUGACGGUGUCGGUGUGGCCAUGCCGCCCAUGCGCAUUGUGUCGGUGCAGAGCGUCUCCGCUGGGCUUCACUCCAUGUCGCAUGCGCCGACCACGUCACUAGCACGUGCUGUGGCACUGGCUUUGACCCUAGUCAACGAGUCACAGAUGGGCUGCCAGUGGAACAGGACACUUCCUUUUAGUGAUGCUGCCGAGACUAUGAUCGUCAGUAUUGUGGAUUAUUCAUAUAUCAUAGGGACUAUCAAAUCUUCCUUUUCCGUGAGCGAGUUAUCGGCUAUUGCGGGGAUAGACAUAUUUCAUUGGAAUUUUGUGGCCUCGUUUGGGCACUCGGAUGGUUUUCUGCUUGGUUCCAAAAAGGAUACUUUCGAUUUUGUGGCUUUUGAUCAUGGCAUCUUCUGGGCUAGUGUGGUGGUUUCUCUCCGAUCCCUUAAUUCUUUGGUGGAGAUCAUGGUGGUUUAUGGUCCGGCUGACCAUGCGAUGUCUUAUGCUUUUUUGGACGAGAUUAGUAUUAAAAUUGAUUCUUGCCAGCUUCCCCUUUUGAUUGGGGACGACUUUAACUUGCUCCAUUUCCCUUCUGACAAGAGCUCGGCUAACUUUUCUGGGCCUCUGGCUGAUGCUUUCAAUGCUUUCAUUAGGGACACGGCUAUUCAUGAGAUACCUAGGGUUGGAGCCCGCUUCACCUGGUCUAACCAUCAAACUCCUCCCAUCCGUUCCAUUCUCGAUAGGGUUUUUGUUUGCCCAACGUGGGAUUCUGUUUUCCCCUCUGUCAGUCUUAGAGCCCUUGCCUGUGUUGGCUCGGACCACACCCCCCUCAUUCUUGAUGAUGGUUUCAAUGAGUUGGUGGCUCAAAAGAUCAUCUCUUUCCUAUCUUCUUCUCGCCGUUCCUUUGGCCCGAUGGAUGACUGGCAUCAAUGCUCCUAUUUCCUUUGUAGAUUUCUUAGAGGUUGGGCCAAAAACCACUAUGCGGAGUCAAGGCAUGACAAAACCAGGGUGAUGGCUCAAAUUGGCGUUCUGGAUGAACGCGCAGAUAAUUCUGGGCUCUCCGCGAAUGAAUGGCAAAUUCGGUAUGGUCUAGAAGAGGUGUUGUUGGGCUUUCAUAGGCAGGAGGAACUGUACUGGAAACAACGUGGCACUAUUAUCUGGACCUUAAAGGGUGACUCUCCCACAUCUUACUUCUUUGCUAUUGCUAAUGGUAGGCGUUGGAGGUGUAUUAUUGAUAGCCUUAUUAUUGAGGGUGUCAGGGUUUCUGACCCUCCGGUGAUUAUGCGACAUGUGGUCUCUUUCUUUUCUACCCUCCUUGCGGCUAAACCUGAAUGUGGCUUUAGGCUGGCUCCGUUCUUCUGGUCCCCGCUUGAGAAACUUUCGAAUGCUGAGAAUUUCAGUUUGCUGAUCCCUCCCACGAAAGAGGAAAUUUUCGAGACGAUUCGUUCGGCCAACGGUUAUGCGGCUUCUGGUCCUGACGGCUUUUCCAUUCCUUUUUUCUGGCAAUUCUGGCCUCAGCUAAAAGGUCUAAUUAUGGCUAUCUCUCAAGGUUUUUGGUUGGGGACUGUGGACAUUUCAAGACUCAACUACGCAGUUCUCACCCUCAUCCCUAAAGUCAAAGGCGCUGACUUAAUCUCCCAAUUUAGGCCCAUUGCCCUGAUUAAUAAUUUUGCUAAGAUCCCUGCCAAGGGCAUGGCUACUAGGGUUUCCUCGAUCGCCCAUCGGGUGUUCCCGUGGAGGCCGAAGCGCGUUGCAGAAGUGCUCGAGGACCACAUACUGGUCCGUGAGCACCACCACGAGCGAGCCUUUCUUGGGGAGGGCACCUCCGGUGAGCUGGAAGAUCUCGACCAGGGUCAGCAACUUGUCGAGGGAGUAGGUCUCAUCAGAGACCUGACUGCCCACAAGGAUGUUGGUCGUCGCGUUCGUGGUGCCCAAACAAUCAAGUAUUAUGGCAGCAGUGUGUGGGUCUUCGAUGGCGAUGGACCCAUGGCCGGCGCAGGCGGCGCAAGAUGGAGAGAGAGAGAGAGGCUGCAUGUCUCACGUUCAGCGAUGGGUGGAGAACUGAUGACAUGGCAGGAUGAUGUGGAUAGCCUGCAUGCUAAGAGAAAUCAUGUGAAAUUCGUUGUUCGCGAUGGUAAAUCUACUCAUUUCUGGUUAGGCUGUUGGGUGGGGGACACCACGCUUGCGGUGGCUUACCCGAUUCUGUUUUCUUUUUGUGCUAAUCCCGAGAUCUCCAUCUUUGAGCUCUCGGCUCAGGGUUGGGUUCUAGAUUUCCGGCGUUCUCUUUCUCCUAUGGAGUUGGAAGAUUGGCAACGCCUUACUGCCUGCUUCCCCCUGCUCUCGGAGGAAGAGGACUCCGUUACACCGCAUGCGUCGCAGACCACGCUGCCGCGACACACCACACUGCUCUUGUCGAUUGCUGCGCCUCAAACUGCUCUGCCACAACAUAUCCUACUCUCGCCUCGAAGCGUCGCCACUCCUGCUGAACGUGCCGUCGCCUUGCAGGUCGACGACGGUGUGGCCAUGCGCGUUGUGCCGGGGCAGCGCGCGUCUAUUGGCCUUCACUGCAUGUUGCAUGAGCCAACCACGUCACUGGAGUGCACUUUGGCACUCUGUUUCACCCUGGUCAACGGGUCGUGGAAUCGGAUAUUCCUUGGGGAAAUCUUUGAUAAAAUUGAAGACAACAACCUUGAGCUAUAUGAUGCAAUAUGGUCGAAUAGCCCUCAAAUUAAGGAGCAGGAAGAGGAAUAUGACUGGCAAAUUGUGGCUUUCAUGGAGGAGUGCUUGACAUUACAUAACUCGCUGCCGGACUCUGUGGGAGGGGCCGCGGCUUCUGGUGGGGCGAAGGGAACACCUUUUUCGGCGGUGUGCUCUAACCUCCCGGCGCGCCCUGCCUCUCCUUCCCUGUCGGGCAUCGAGGAUCCGCCCCCGGCCGGUCCCCUGGCAUCCAAAAAGAAGAAGAAGUCUUCUGUGAAGAAGUACUCGGCCAAAAGUAGAGCGUUUGGUGAUUCAAGGCAGUCGGCGGUUGGUCUUUGCCGGAGGCUGGAUGCUGAUCUGGGCAUGGCCUCAGGUCCUUCCUCCGCUGCGGUGUCUCCCUGCCGUGCCCGCCCUGUGCCAUUGAGCUCGCCGGCGUCCAUGGCUCGCAAGAGUGGCCGUGUCUCCAUCAGUGGCGAGCGGGUCGCUGAUUGGGCCGCUCGGCGUGCGGCGGCUCGGGAUCUGCUUCCUUCAGGUGCGUGUCCAAGCCCUUCCCUUCCGGUCCCCUCUGUUCUUUCUCCGGUUCGGGUAGUGCUUCACUCGCAAUCCGACGAUCAUUUGCUUCACAUAUUAGAAGAUGUUGGGAUUUCUCUGGAUGCUAGUUUGGGUUCUCCUUCUUCCUUGCUUGGUAUAAUUAGGUCAAACGAAUUAGCCCAGGCUGACAUUGCUAAAGCCAAGGAGGCUAGGUUGGAUUCUUCUUCCCCACUUUUUGUGGCCGGUGGGGACGGGGUGGGAGCUGAUAGGGGUCAGGCUCCCGCGGUUGUUUCUAAGCGUGGGGCGGUUGAAACUCUCAAACCUUCCUUCUCUCCAAAUGAGCUCUUUGUUGUUUCUGGGAUCGACAGAUUUGAUUGGAAUUUUGUAGCCUCUGUUGGGCAUUCGGGGGGCAUUCUCCUUGGUACCAAGAAAGAUAUGUUCGAUUUUGUAGCAUUUGAUCAUGGAAUUUAUUGGGCUAGCAUGGUGGUGUCUGACCGUUCCCUCAACUCUUUACUAGAGAUCAUGGUAGUUUAUGGUCCAGCUGACCACUCUUUGUCUUAUAUCUUCCUGGACGAACUUCGUAAUAAAUUAGAUGCAUGUCAACUGCCUUUACUUAUUAGGGGUAACUUUAACCUGAUGUGCUACCCUUCGGAUAAGAGCUCCUCUAACUUCUCGUGGCCGCUGGCCGACGCUUUUAACGCUUUUAUCAGAGACACGGCGAUCCACGAAAUCCCUACGGUUGGGGCCCGUUUCACUUGGACAAAUCACCAAACCUCUCCCAUCCGAUCUGUCCUCGAUCGAGUUUUCUUUUGUUCUAGAUGGGACUCGAUGUUUCCUCGUGCCAUCCUUAGAGCCCUGGCCAUUGUGGGCUCCUACCACUCUCCUCUUAUUCUUGACGAUGGUAAUCGUGUGUUAUCCUUCCCUAGGUUUCAAUUUGAUGCCUCCUGGCUCCUUGUGGAGGGUUUUACUAAUUCGAUGGCGCAGAAAAUUUCGACUUUCCUGUCAUCUCACUGUCGCUCCUUUGGCCCGAUGGACGACUGGCACCAGUGUUCCUAUUUUCUCCGUAAGUUUCUCCGUGGGUGGUCUAAAAAUUACUCUGCUCAAUCAAGGUGUGACAAAAAUAGGCUGGUUGCUCAAAUCGGCGCGCUCGAUGCUCGGGCGGACGACACUGGCCUCUCCCCCGCCGAGUGGCAAAUCCAGUACGGCCUCAAAGAGGCCCUGUUGGAUAUCCAUCGUCAGGAGGAGGUGUAUUGGAAGCAAAGAGGCAAUAUUAACUGGACUUUAAAGGGCGACUCUCCCACGUCCUACUUCUUUGCCAUUGCGAAUGUUUCUGAUCAACCUACGAUUAUACAACACGUGGUCCACUUCUUCUCCACUCUCCUCUCCGCCAGACCUGACAUGGGGUUUAGGCUGGCUUCCUCCUUCUGGUCCCUCCGCAAUCAGAUUUCGAUCGAUGAAAAUGAGGGAUUGAUGAUCCCUCCUUUUGAAGAGGAGGUUUUUGAAGCGAUCCGUUCUGCUAACUCUAACGCGGCCUCUGGGCCUGAUAGCUUCUCCAUUCCUUUCUUCCGGCAAUUCUGGCCGCAGUUAAAAGGUCUCAUUUUGGCGAUUAUCCAAGGUUUCUGGCUGGGCACAGUUGACAUUUCCAGACUAAACUACGCGGUGCUCACCCUCAUUCCUAAAAUCAAAGGGGCCGAUCUGAUCACCCAAUUCAGGCCCAUCGCCCUUAUCAACAAUUUUGUGAAGCUUCCGGCCAAGGGGUUGGCUUCCAGGCUCUCUCCGAUCGCCCAUCGUGUCAUCAAUGGUUUCGGGAGGCCAUACGGCUGCAAUGGGCAGAUAAGCAAUUUCUUUGCCAAUGGCAGGGGCCUUAGACAAGCUAAAUAUUUCCCUUCCUCGAGCCCCAUGCUUGCCUCCUCCUCGGGUGGUUCUCAGUUUUGGCGCCAGCUUGUUAAAGUCCGUCCGAUAGUUCAGUCCCUCGUUAAGUUUGUUGUUAGGAAUGGCAAGUCCACUCGCUUUUGGUUAGACUGGUGGAUAGGUGACUCCACCCUCGCGGUGGCCUUCCCGACCUUGUUUUCUUAUUGCUCUGCUCCAGAGAUCUCUAUCUUUGAGCUCUCGGUUAAUGAUUGGGACCUUAACUUCCGGCGAUCCCUUUCUCCUGCGGAGUUGGAUGAUUGGCAACGUCUUAUUGCCUGCUUCCCCCUGCUCUCAGAGGAAGAUGAUUCGGUAGUUUGGCCUCACUCCUCCUCUGGUCGUUUUUCAGUCAAGUCUACGUACGCCAAGCUUAUCUCUGGCGCCCAUACAGUGAAAUUGAAGGAUAUCUGGUUGGCCCGCAUUCCUCCUAAGAUCAAGAUUUUCAUGUGGCAAGAUCUGCGUUGUAAAUUACCUGCGGCUGACCAGAUUAGGAAGAGGAACGGACCGGGUUCUGAUAGGAUUUGCGGCGGCGCCUUAAUUCCUUAUCGGUUCGGUCUAAGAGGGUACUGGUGGAGAUUAUUGACUAAGGAAGCGGAUCUUGAGGCGUUAGACGACAUGCUAUCUAUGAUGAGAUCUACGGCUUCCUCCCUGCUGCGGUGA